rnacentral:rRNA from 1 species
UACGGAGGGUGCAAGCGUUGCUCGGAAUCAUUGGGCGUAAAGCGUACGCAGGCUGUUCGUUAAGUCGGGUGUGAAAGCCCGGGGCUCAACCCCGGAACUGCGCCCGAAACUGGCGAGCUUGAGUGCGGGAGAGGGAAGCGGAAUUCCUGGUGUAGAGGUGAAAUUCGUAGAUAUCAGGAGGAACACCGGUGGCGAAAGCGGCUCCUGGCCCGACCACUGACGCUCAUGUACGAAAGCGUGGGGAGCAAAC